AUGGUUUGUUCCUGUAAUUUUUUGGUGUACUUUGAGCCAGAACGUGUGAGCACUCAAAUUGUUACACUGAUAUUGGAAAGCUUCUGAAGAUGAAGCUAGAUGAGGUUUCAGCUAGGACCAUGGAGGUAUUGGUGGAUGCUUUUUCUAGUUCUGCAGGGCUGUCCACCUUCUCCUAUACUGAUGAGUUGGACUAUGAAUGGGGUGAACAGAAUAGAGAUUGCCAGUGAGAUGGAUGCAACUGCUGCUGGUACGUUGAGGAGGAGGACCUCAUGAGGUUCAUGAUUGAGAAAGAGGUAGAAGUUGCAUUUAUGCUGAUUGACGUAGCACAAACCAGAUGAAUUGAUAAAAGAGCUCUAAUAGAUUGGGUGGUAAGCCGUCUAUUUAUGUAUCAGUACCUCUCAGUUCCAUGUGAAUAGCAUACAUUGAUCUGUAGCUAUGGAGUUCUACUUCUUGGCCAUGCAUAAAUAGUUGCUCGUAUUCUGGUUAAGGCACUGAUGGCAAUUCCCACUCUCGAUCCAGCCUUUGUCUCUUCCUAAUUCCAGAAAGAGUGGUAUUUUUCUUUUAUUCUCUACUGAUUUACAAUUUAGUUGUUUCCAUGAACAAUUAUAUUUGGUUGAAAGAACUGAAAAUUGUUCAAGGUGCUUCAGGGGUCGAAGUGGAACUUUAAGUUUGAAGCUUUGCUACCCCUAUUGGUACAUUACAUGCUUUGUAGUUUGUCAGGGGGAAAUGAAGUGAAUUAAAAAACAAUGUUCUUGCUGAGAUCACACUGAAUUUAAUUUGUGCUUAUUGGGUUUACAUGUUGAACUCGUUUUUCUUAUUAAGUUGCAGUAAAUUGUCAUUCUCCCAUGAGAGAUGAGAUCUGAUGCAAAAAAAAAUAUAUAUAUAUAUUUGGUCUAUUGAGUUCACCAAAAGUUCGAGAGUUUUGAUCAACUAAUCCCCUCCUUUAUUUCUAUCUUCCCAUAUCGGCAAAUGGAGGAGCAAUUCAAGACAUUGAUUGUCCUAUCUCAUUAUUUGGAGGUGCUUUCUUUACUGGAUAAUUGGAUAUGUAGAUCCGUCAGCUAUGCAGUUCCUAAAACUCUAGUUCUUUACUGUAUUUACAUUACAAAUAGACCAUCCUCAGAGCUAAAAAAUCCUCUCCAUUGUCCGCCAUACUAAGCAAGCUCGAGACUCCACAACUCCCAAAAGGUAAGAAACUCUUGACGUCGCUUUCAAUUUUUGGCCAUAUUUUGCACUACUUUGAUCAUUGUUUUAAUCUAGGAAACUAUGUAAUCUGCACCCCCUACCUAGUUUUGUGUACCAGAAAAGUUAUGAUAGUUUUGCUUCAAUACCAGAAAUUUUCUUUCCUUUCGAACAUUCUGAUCAAUGCUUUCUUUUCGGAAUAAGCCCACACAUGGUGAAGACUUGGAAUGGGUGCAAGGCGUUGUAGCUGCUAGCCAAGGAUCAAACCAAAAAGUGGAAUUGAAGGACAUCAAAAUUGUUGUGGCACUGAUAGCAAUCGCUCCAAAUUUCAGCCCUUGUCUCUUCCUAAUGUCAAAAAGAGUGCAAAUGGAGAAGCAUAUCAAGACACUCAUUGUCCUAUCUCACUACUUGGAGGUGCAGUGUUUAAUUUGAUACAAAAUUGUUUGACUAAUCCGGCUAUUUUCAAGUGGUUUAGGUGGAAAUACAGAUUAGAUUCUCCACCUCAGACUGAAGAGCUAUGGUGGAAAUCUUUCGAUUUUGCAGCUCUCAAGUACAGUUUAUCUCAUUCUCUGAUGUUGAGUACCUGGAAUCCGCCGUUUUCUGGUGGGCAAGGGUUUGUUUGAGGAUGAGAAAGCACGCAAAGUUAAUUCUUCAACAUUGGCUUGAAGCUAUUGAUCCACACCAUUAGUAUGGACACAAUUUACACAUGAACUACGAUUUUUGAUUUGAAAGUGAGAGCAGCCAGCCUUUCUUCUACUGACGGAUACCCAUCUGAAUUGUGGGAAAGCACUACUGGAAAUGCUAUUAUGUAUUUAUGUCCCCCUGCCAUCAUAUGUUGCAAAAGACUUGGGACUGUGUUCAAAAGCCGUGAUGGGUCCUGCUGGAAUCUGUUUGCUGUGUUUUUGAACAUUUAGUGGAACUAUGGGCUUAUUUGGGAAGAGAAAUGAUUGAAGAAUGUCACUGUGUUAUGUUUGUGUACUGGUAGCUUCUUUUUUUUUUUAGGCAAGCGACAUUUUACUGAUCUUUGGCUGUAAUUAAAGAGUUGGUGUAUGAAAAGCAAUUGGAUAGGCAAGAAAUGGAUGACUUGCCGCAGAUGGUACUAGCUUUGGU